rnacentral:lncRNA from 1 species
UGAGAGCAGAAUGGAUAAAGAUUCAGUUACAGAAUCAAAUGAAUAUUAAAUACUGAUAUCAUCUGAUUCAAAAAAGCACCGAUAUACUUUGAAGUUAAGUACAUGUGUAUCCCAAUUGACUCUGAUGUGCUUAGACCCAAGCAUGUGCUUAAAUGCUUUUCUGAAUUGACACCAUUGAUAUAAUAUAGACCCGUGACAUUCAAGAAAAAAAAAUCUAAACCUGUCCUACUUUUAUUUUCAAAAGCACCAUUGCUUUGCUCUUAUUGAAUGGGAGUUUCACCAUUGACUAACUUCAGCGGGAGCAGAGUGAGAGUAACUCUACUCAUAAUCUUUAUAGUAAAGACAGAAGAACAGCUAACGAUUCAGGGAAACUUCUUGAAAAUAUCAGUGAACUCCAAGAAGAAAUUAGUAAGUUAUAACCUCCUCUAAUGCAAUAGUUUGUAUGGAGUUGCAUCCUAGGCUGUGUCUACACUGGCAAUUGAACGACAAAACUUUUGUCAUUCAGAGAUGUUAAUCCCCUUCCCCCCCGAAAGACAAAAGUUUUGCCAUUACAAGUGCCAGUGUGAACAGCACGUUGUUGGCAUGAGCGCUCUGCUGCCAACAGAGUGAACGCUGCUCAUUGGUGGUGGAAGUAUUUUGUUAGCAAAAGAGCCAACAAACAGUGGCGACGCUGCCCGACUUUUAGCAACAGGGCUUUGUCGACAGUCAUGUCGCUAAAAGCUGCGUAGUGUAGACAAUGCCCUAGUAAGUACUGUAGGAUUCAUUUACCUGUAGGGAAAUGACGUGACACCCCAGGCUUUGUGAAUAAAUUUAAAGUCUGGGAUUUUCA